rnacentral:rRNA from 1 species
CGAUGAAGCCCUUCGGGGUGGAUUAGUGGCGAACGGGUGAGUAACACGUGGGCAAUCUGCCCUUCACUCUGGGACAAGCCCUGGAAACGGGGUCUAAUACCGGAUACGACGCGCUCGGGCAUCCGAUGUGCGUGGAAAGCUCCGGCGGUGAAGGAUGAGCCCGCGGCCUAUCAGCUUGUUGGUGAGGUAACGGCUCACCAAGGCGACGACGGGUAGCCGGCCUGAGAGGGCGACCGGCCACACUGGGACUGAGACACGGCCCAGACUCCUACGGGAGGCAGCAGUGGGGAAUAUUGCACAAUGGGCGAAAGCCUGAUGCAGCGACGCCGCGUGAGGGAUGACGGCCUUCGGGUUGUAAACCUCUUUCAGCAGGGAAGAAGCGAAAGUGACGGUACCUGCAGAAGAAGCGCCGGCUAACUACGUGCCAGCAGCCGCGGUAAUACGUAGGGCGCGAGCGUUGUCCGGAAUUAUUGGGCGUAAAGAGCUCGUAGGCGGUCUGUCGCGUCGGAUGUGAAAGCCCGGGGCUUAACCCCGGGUCUGCAUUCGAUACGGGCAGACUAGAGUGUGGUAGGGGAGAUCGGAAUUCCUGGUGUAGCGGUGAAAUGCGCAGAUAUCAGGAGGAACACCGGUGGCGAAGGCGGAUCUCUGGGCCAUUACUGACGCUGAGGAGCGAAAGCGUGGGGAGCGAACAGGAUUAGAUACCCUGGUAGU